UGGGCAACCUGCCCCUAGCUCUGGGAUAACUGCGGGAAACUGUAGCUAAUACCGGAUGUGACACGAGACUGCAUGGUCUUCGUGUGGAAAGAUUUAUCGGCUAGGGAUGGGCCCGCGGUCUAUCAGCUUGUUGGUGGGGUAAUGGCCCACCAUGGCGAUGACGGGUAGCCGGCCUGAGAGGGCGACCGGCCACACUGGGACUGAGACACGGCCCAGACUCCUACGGGAGCAG
rnacentral:rRNA from 1 species